rnacentral:piRNA from 1 species
GAAGGUGACAGUGAUCCACUGGAGAGGUC